rnacentral:rRNA from 1 species
CUUCGGUUUUGUGGACAGUGGCGAACGGGUGCGUAACACGUGAGCAACCUGCCCUUGAGUAUAGAAUAGCUCGCCGAAAGGCGAAUUAAUACUGUAUGUGACCCUUUACCGCAUGGUAAAGUGGUUAAAGCUUGUAAUGGCGCUCAAGGAUGGGCUCGCGGCCUAUCAGCUUGUUGGUGAGGUAAAAGCUCACCAAGGCUAAGACGGGUAGCUGGUCUGAGAGGAUGAUCAGCCACACCGGGACUGAGACACGGCCCGGACACCUACGGGUGGCAGCAGUUUCGAAUCAUUCACAAUGGGCGAAAGCCUGAUGAUGCAAUGCCGCGUGGAGGAUGAAGGCCUUAGGGUCGUAAACUCCUGUCAUUAGGGAACAACAAAUAGGUUUAUAGCCUAUUCUGAGUUAACCUAAAGAGGAAGAGGUGGCUAACUCCGUGCCAGCAGCCGCGGUAAUACGGAGACCUCGAGCGUUACUCGGAUUUACUGGGCGUAAAGGGUGAGCAGGCGGCCAAGUGUGUCAGGUGUGAAAUCCCGGGGCUUAACCCCGGAACUGCGCCUGAAACUACUUGGCUAGAGUCUCGGAGAGGACAGUGGAAUUCUAGGUGUAGCGGUGAAAUGCGUAGAUAUCUAGAGGAACACCAGUGGCGAAGGCGACUGUCUGGACGAGUACUGACGCUCAAUCACGAAAGCGUGGGUAGCGAAAGGGAUUAGAUACCCCUGUAGUCCACGCCGUAAACGUUGUGCACUAAGUUUCGGAGGAUUCGACCCCUUCGGAGCUCUAGCUAACGCG